GAUGAACGCUGGCGGCGUGCCUAAUACAUGCAAGUCGAGCGGACGGACGAGAAGCUUGCUUCUCUGAUGUUAGCGGCGGACGGGUGAGUAACACGUGGAUAACCUACCUAUAAGACUGGGAUCACUUCGGGAAACCGGAACUAAUACCGGAUGAUAUUUUGAACCGCAUGGUUCAAAAGUGAAAGACGGUCUUGCUGUCACUUAUAGAUGGAUCCGCGCUGCAUUAGCUAGUUGGUAGGGUAACGGCUUACCAAGGCAACGAUGCAUAGCCGAACUGAGAGGGUGAUCGGCCACACUGGAGCUGAGACACGGUCCAGACUCCUACGGGAGGCAGCAGUAGGGAAUCUUCCGCAAUGGGCGAAAGCCUGACGGAGCAACGCCGCGUGAGUGAUGAAGGUCUUCGGAUCGUAAAACUCUGUUAUUAGGGAAGAACAUAUGUGUAAGUAACUGUGCACAUCUUGACGGUACCUAAUCAGAAAGCCACGGCUAACUACGUG
rnacentral:rRNA from 1 species